rnacentral:pre_miRNA from 1 species
AUUGAAAGAAUGACAAAUCAAAUAUUUUCUCUUGAUUUUUAGCCUUUUAUUCUUGAUAAAAUUCAAAUUAAAUUAAAAAUACUAAAAAUCAUGAGAAAAAAUCUGAUUUGUCAGUCUAUCCUU